UGCACAGAUUAAACCGAGGCGCCCAGGAAAGAAGAGUGGCCGGGAAGGAAGUUGGAAUGAAAGGACUCUAGGUCGCCGCAUUCUUUGUUCCAGCCAAUCGCAGUGUAUGACGGAUGUCGCAAGCACGUAAUUUCCAUCUUCCUGGCGCGCGACCAACUCCUGGGUCUCGGGGUACUCGGAAAUCUCGGUCUUAGAAGACUGGAAGGUCUUGAGGGUCUCAAUGAUCUCAGGAGUCUGAUGUGUCUUGGAAUCUCGAGAGUCGCGGGAAUUGCGUGCGUUCUCGAGGAUGUGGAAGCGGUGGAUUCAUAUAUGAGCGCUUGCAGAUCAGGGACAAGAGUGGCAAUGCUCGAGUAGCGGUUGAAAACCACACCCUGGUUAAGUGGCGUUUUCAUUAAUGCAAUUCGGAUAUCAUCUUGCAAAUCCAGGAGCAUUUCGGAAAACAACUAUGACCGACCGCAAUUAGAUAACAUCAAAAGCAAGUGCAUUGGACACGUAGGAACAGAACAAAAGGGAACAGUUGGAAGCGAGAACCUGGC